UUUGUACUCCCUCCGUUCCGAAUUACUUGUCGCGGGUAUGGAUGUAUCUAGAUGUAUUUUAGUUCUAGAUACAUCCAUUUCUGCGAUGAGUAAUUUGGAACGGAGGGAGUAGAUA
rnacentral:pre_miRNA from 1 species